rnacentral:rRNA from 1 species
GGGGGAAACCUGAUGCAGCGACGCCGCGUGAGUGAAGAAGUAUUUCGGUAUGUAAAGCUCUAUCAGCAGGGAAGAAAAUGACGGUACCUGAGUAAGAAGCCACGGCUAACUACGUGCCAGCAGCCGCGGUAAUACGUAGGGGGCAAGCGUUAUCCGGAUUUACUGGGUGUAAAGGGAGCGCAGACGGCUCUGCAAGUCUGAAGUGAAAGCCCGCGGCUUAACCGCGGGACUGCUUUGGAAACUGCAAGGCUUGAGUAUCGGAGGGGCAGGCGGAAUUCCUAGUGUAGCGGUGAAAUGCGUAGAUAUUAGGAAGAACACCGGUGGCGAAGGCGGCCUGCUGGACGAAAACUGAUGUUGAGGCUCGAAGGCGUGGGGAGCAAACAGGAUUAGAUACCCUGGUAGUCCACGCGGUAAACGAUGAAUACUAAGUGUUGGUGCCCGAAGGGCAUCGGUGCCGUCGCAAACGCAAUAAGUAUUCCACCUGGGGAGUACGUUCGCAAGAAUGAAACUC